CUCCAACAAGGAUAAUCUGUUUACCUUUUAUGGUUGGAGAGCUCCGUGGGCUCCAUAGAAUCCUUUCUCUGAGCGACAGAUGAAGAGAUUGCUACAAGAAAAGAGGAGCUAGAGAUAAUAACAAAUUUCCUGAGGGACUUUCCAGUUUGG